UAAGGAAUAUUGGUCAAUGGACGCAAGUCUGAACCAGCCAUGCCGCGUGAAGGAUGAAGGUCCUCUGGAUUGUAAACUUCUUUUAUUUGGGAAGAAACCCAUGAUUUCUAUCGUGGUUGACGGUACCAGAUGAAUAAGCACCGGCUAACUCCGUGCCAGCAGCCGCGGUAAUACGGAGGGUGCAAGCGUUAUCCGGAUUCACUGGGUUUAAAGGGUGCGUAGGCGGGUUGGUAAGUCCGUGGUGAAAUCUCCAAGCUUAACUUGGAAACUGCCGUGGAUACUAUCAAUCUUGAAUAUAGUGGAGGUGAGCGGAAUAUGUCAUGUAGCGGUGAAAUGCUUAGAUAUGACAUAGAACACCCAUUGCGAAGGCAGCUCGCUACACUAUUAUUGACGCUGAGGCACGAAAGCGUGGGGAUCAAACA
rnacentral:rRNA from 1 species